rnacentral:rRNA from 1 species
CCCUUAGAUGUUCUGGGCCGCACGCGCGCUACACUGAUGCAUUCAACGAGUCUAAAACCUGCUCUGAUAGGGGUGGGUAAUCUUUUGAAUGUGCAUCGUGAUUGGGAUAGAUGAUUGCAAUUUUUCAUCUUCAACGAGGAAUGCCUAGUAAACGCAAGUCAUCAGCUUGCAUUGAUUACGUCCCUGCCCUUUGUACACACCGCCCGUCGCUACUACUGAUUGGACGUUUAAGCAAGAUUUUUAAACACUGACAGUGUGUAGUUCACGCUAUACUACAGUGAGAAGAAGAAGAUCGAGCUUACUUGUCUAGAGGAAGUAAAAGUCGUAACA